AUCCUUUUGUAGCUCGUAAGCGUGAUGAGUGGGUGUUCACUCUAUUGUUCAAGAUGAGCUUUUCUCAUGCAUUGUUAUAUCAUCAACAUAGCACUUGUCUGAUA
rnacentral:snoRNA from 1 species